CUUUGUUACUCGUGCAGAUGUUUGUUACUACUGAGGGUCAUUUUCGUGUUGGGAGAAAGAGCAGGAUAUUAAGAAAAGUCAGCCGCGAACUUAUGACAGUUUUAGACGGUAUAUCGGGAGACAUGGCCAAAUUGGGGAACAUAGCAUUAGAUGCCGAAAGUGGCGAUUAACAUGAGAUGAGACAGCG